rnacentral:rRNA from 1 species
UACGUAGGGCGCGAGCGUUGUCCGGAUUUAUUGGGCGUAAAGAGCUCGUAGGCGGCUUGUCGCGUCGACUGUGAAAUCCCGAGGCUCAACCUCGGGUCUGCAGUCGAUACGGGCAAACUAGAGUAUUGCAGGGGAGACUGGAAUUCCUGGUGUAGGCGGUAGAAAUGCGCAGAUAUCAGGAGGAACACCGGUGGCGAAGGCGGGUCUCUGGGCAAUAACUGACGCUGAGGAGCGAAAGCGUGGGGAGCGAACAGG